CGGUGAUGUCAGCUUCCUUUUAGUCAUAAUGAUAGGGAAUACCAAAGUCACUGAAAGAUGUGUUGGUAUUACGACAGACAUACUGCAGUGUGAACCAGAAGAGGUAUGUCGAAGAUGUCGAAGUGCUCAAACGACUUUUACUUGGAACCAGUGUCUGGGACAUGCCAACCUUGUGAUGAAUUAUGCCACCAAGCUACUGUCAGAGGGACGGUCGAACUUUGUCGAAAAUAUUGUCCAGUCGGUGUCGGAGCGCCUGUCACGGAUGUACCGAUUGAUCAGGUCACACACUUUGUGACACCUGCUUACGAGCAAUCAACCAUCAACCUGAGCAGUGAUAGUUCCCCCGGAGCACAAUACGCGGUCGUUAUUCUGUCUGUUCUGAUCAUCUUGAUUUCAAUCAUGGCGCUUGCUGUGCUCCUGAAAAGAGCAAUCCCAUCCUUCGAAAUACAAAAGAAACACAACGACACCCCCCGCACAACAUGGUAUAUUACUACCAAUCUACAAAAAACACCGUGAAAUGCCACACUCAAAUUUCAAGGCCUUUCUGGACAGCCUGUAAAUGGCCUGCACUAAACAAUAUCAUAAACAACAUCCCAUACAGAAAGCAUACAUAAUGAAACAAGUCAUAAGGCUGACCAACCAAUGUCAGCCAGUAGGGAUGAGGGUUAGUUCCUUGUGAGUUUUCGAAAAUUUCGUAUAUUAAGAAUGAUUCAAGCAUGGCUGUGAUUGAUAUUAGUGCACAUAUUGUUAUGCGAUACACAAAAAGAAUUAUAACCUGCCAAAGGCCUCAUACCAGAGAAAUUAAAGAAUGCUUAGCCACAUUUGAUGUGUCACUUACAAACGAUGUUUGGUGAUAAUAUUUGUUAUCACUUAAUACUUACCAAGCAAGAAUCUAUCAUUUUUAAAAACCUUUAUACAUUGCAAAAAUAUUUGACUCAAACACUGAAAACGUACAGUUUUUCUUGCUGACGAAACAUAAGCAUGUCGGAUACGGGUCCAAUACUUUCGCGUCGAUUUGCAAAAUUUCACGAUCCCCUUCUCCGAUAACAGCCAGGUGUUGAGCAUCUUCACAUUAUACUCCGUUUUUCUUCUUGUAUUUUCUUUUUUCAUACUUUCAACAUACUUCGGCUCAUUGAAUUCAUCCGAAGGAAUUUCCCCCGUUCCACUUAUUCAUUCAGUUUCAUCAAUCUACUGGAAAGCGACGCUAGCGUCCGAUCACCUGCCAAAGUUUGCCGCAACUAAAUCUAAACCAGAUAGAAUGGGACUGAGGCGAAUCCUAUAUUGAUGAAACAUCAAGACCAGUCACCAUUAGGAUCAAAGAACCCCAGGACUCAGUAAGAAACAUAUCCGCCAUAACCGACCACCUUAAAGCCAACCCGAACCACAACAUCAGUUGGAACACCACCAAAGUCAUCGAAAGGAACUAGCCUGAUUUCAAAACCCGAAAACUACUUGAAGCUGUCCACAUAAAGAAGAUUUGCUCAGCCAUUAACAGAGAUUAAGGAUAUUUCACCCCCAAGGCCUAUCAUCACUUGCUCAAUUAACUUCAUGUAACCCUACUCAACCAUUGUACAUUAUCCAUUGUGUAACACUAAACAUUAUCUAGUGUGUAACACUGUACAUUAUCUAGUGUGUAACACUGUACGUUAUCCCUUUUGUAGCACUGUACAUUAUCCAUUGUGUAACACUGUACAUUAUCUAUUGUACAUCUAUUGUGUAAACAUCACUUCACCACUAGCUUCCCAACAGUCCCUUUACCACUUAUGUAAACAACCUAUGUAUAUCAUUUCCUACUGGCUGCCCAUCAACAUCCUUUAUCCCUUAUGUAUACAACUAUGUACAUGUUCUUUACUGGCUUCCUACCAACCUACUUAAUCCUGUGUUAUCAACCUAUUCUAUUGUCUAACCAACUCAUUUUCGCCUCAUCCCUCAUCUAUUGUACAAACAUCUCAUGUAUAUAUAUCACCCAAAAUACUUCCCAUGUAUCACUUGCUUGACAACGACAUUAGAAUCUAUAUCGAAACAUCGCCUAUUUAGAAUAAAGAAGUUGUAUAUCCAUAAAAAUAGUCCCCAUUCUUCAUCUACCCAACUUCAAGAAUGCCAAUCAAAGGAGCAACUAAAUCUGACGUCAAGGAAUACAUGACGUCAUUUUAUUGUGUUACAUUCCAUGACGUCGAGCACAAAAUUGAGGAACCAGAUAUCGGUUAUCUUCCCCGCUUGGAGCCCGGACGUUUUGGGUUAUCUCGCCGGGUCCAGAUAUGGACCCAACGAUUUCGCCAUAUAUAUAGCAAAACAAUGCAUAUACGGGGAAAUUAUUACUGUAUUAAGUGAAACGUGAUUCAUAAACACAUGAUGCGACUUUGAGUAGAGACACCCCACGCAGACACCUGGUAUCAAGGCUGAUUUUCAGUUGACUAUUCAGAUACUUCUCACAUCUAUAUCGACCUUUCCGUCAGAUAGAAUCUGUUUCUAAGGACAGUCAAGAUGGUUGUAUUGACGUUAUGUUCAUAUAUAUUUAUAUAUUUUAUAUGAAAUAUUUUGUUGCUUACAUUUGAAGCCUAGGGCACAAAUGUCCUGUUAGUUACAACUUGUCUCUUAGAUUAUAAAAUGUAAUUUAUGGUACAUCCGUAAAGUGCACCCAGUAGCCUGGUGGUUAAAGCUUUCAGUCGUCACUCAAAAAACCUGGGUUAGAUUCCCCACAUGGGUACAAUAUGUGAAGCCCAUUUCUGGUGCCCCCUGACGUAAUGUUGCUGGAAUAUUGCCUGAAAUCGGCGUAAAGCUAAACUCACUUACUCACUAAUGCACUUGUUAAGUUUGAUCAAGAACAUGUUGCAGUUGAUCUUGAUUUCAAUAAAUAUGUAUAAUGAAUCAGUGCAGAUUUCAGUUAAUAUGGUAUUUCCUGAUAAUUUCAGUAAAUAUACAUAAUCCCUGACGGAAUCAGUAAAUUUACAUAUUUACUGAUUAUACAUAUUUAAUGAAACAUAAACACAUCGAACGAAAUAAAAACCUGCAUUAUAAUCCAC